rnacentral:rRNA from 1 species
CAUGCAAGUCGAACGGAAACCUUCGGGUUUUAGUGGCGAACGGGUGAGUAACACGUAAGCAACCUACCCUAAAGACGAGGAUAACCAUUGGAAACAGUGGCUAAGACUGGAUAGGAAGAUAAAAGGCAUCUUUUAUCUUUUAAAAGACCUAGUAAUAGGUAUGCUUUAGGAGGGGCUUGCGCCAUAUUAGUUAGUUGGUAGGGUAAUGGCCUACCAAGACGAUGAUGUGUAGCUGGACUGAGAGGUUGAACAGCCACAUUGGGACUGAGACACGGCCCAAACUCCUACGGGAGGCAGCAGUAGGGAAUUUUCGGCAAUGGAGGAAACUCUGACCGAGCAACGCCGCGUGAAUGACGAAGUACUUCGGUAUGUAAAGUUCUUUUAUCAAGGAAGAAAAGCAAAUGGCGAACCAUUUGUUUGCCGGUACUUGAUGAAUAAGCCCCGGCUAAUUAUGUGCCAGCAGCCGCGGUAAGACAUAAGGGGCAAGUGUUAUCCGGAAUUAUUGGGCGUAAAGGGUGCGUAGGCGGUCUAGUAAGUCAGUGGUGUAAUGGCAACGCUUAACGUUGUCCGGCUAUUGAAACUGCUAAACUUGAGUUAGAUAGAGGCGAGUGGAAUUCCAUGUGUAGCGGUAAAAUGCGUAAAUAUAUGGAGGAACACCAGAGGCGUAGGCGGCUCGCUGGGUCUUAACUGACGCUGAGGCACGAAAGCGUGGGGAGCAAACAGGAUUAGAUACCCUGGUAGUCCACGCCGUAAACGAUGAGUACUAAGUGUCGGGUUAAACCGGUACUGAAGUUAACACAUUAAGUACUCCGCCUGAGUAGUACGUACGCAAGUAUGAAACUUAAAGGAAUUGACGGGACUCCGCACAAGCGGUGGAUCAUGUUGUUUAAUUCGAAGAUACCCGAAAAACCUUACCAGGUCUUGACAUGUUUUUGCAAAAUGAUAGUAAUAUCGUGGAGGUUACCAGAAACACAGGUGGUGCAUGGUUGUCGUCAGCUCGUGUCGUGAGAUGUUAGGUUAAGUCCUAAAACGAGCGAAACCCUUAUCGUUAGUUGCCAGCACGUUAUGGUGGGGACUUUAACGAGACUGCCAAUGAUAAAUUGGAGGAAGGUGAGGAUCACGUCAAAUCAGCAUGCCCCUUAUGACCUGGGCUACAAACGUGAUACAAUGGCUGUUACAAAGGGUAGCUGAAACGCAAGUUCUUGGCCAAUCCCCAAAAACAGUCCCAGUCCGGAUUGAAGUCUGCAACUCGACUUCAUGAAGUUGGAAUCGCUAGUAAUCGCGAAUCAGCAUGUCGCGGUGAAUACGUUCUCGGGGUUUGUACACACCGCCCGUCAAACCACGAAAGUUGGCAAUACCCCAAAACGGUAGCCUAACUCGUUUAUUCGAGAGGGCGCCGUCUAAGGUAGGGUCGAUGAUUGGGGUUAAG